GUCUGGUGCCAGCAGCCGCGGUAAUACGGAGGAUGCAAGCGUUAUCCGGAAUUAUUGGGCGUAAAGGGUCCGCAGGCGGUACAUCAAGUCUGCUGUCAAAGACCGAAGCUUAACUUCGGGCAGGCAGUGGAAACUGGUGAACUAGAGUACGGUAGGGGUAGAGGGAAUUUCCAGUGUAGCGGUGAAAUGCGUAGAGAUUGGAAAGAACACCAGUGGCGAAGGCGCUCUACUGGACCUGUACUGACGCUGAGGGACGAAAGCUAGGGGAGCGAAAGGGAUUAGAUACCCCUGUAGUCCUAGCUGUAAACGAUGGAUACUAGGCGUUGCUUGUAUCGACCCGAGCAGUGCCGUAGCUAACGCGUUAAGUAUCCCGCCUGGGGAGUACGCACGCAAGUGUGAAACUCAAAGGAAUUGACGGGGGCCCGCACAAGCGGUGGAGUAUGUGGUUUAAUUCGAUGCAACGCGAAGAACCUUACCAGGACUUGACAUCCCGCGAAUCUUAGAGAGAUCUGAGAGUGCCUUAGGGAACGCGGAGACAGGUGGUGCAUGGCCGUUCUU
rnacentral:rRNA from 1 species